CUGUUGGUUCUCCCGCAACGCUACUCUGUUUACCAGGUCAGGUCCGGAAGGAAGCAGCCAAGGCAGAUGACGUGUGUGCCGGGAUGUAGCUGGCAGGGCC
rnacentral:SRP_RNA from 1 species